UACGUAGGGGGGCAAGCGUUUGUCCGGAUUUAUUGGGCGUAAAGAGCGUGUAGGCGGCCAGAUAGGUCCGUUGUGAAAACUGGAGGCUUAACCUCCAGCGGUCGAUGGAAACCGUCUGGCUAGAGUCCGGAAGAGGAGUGUGGAAUUCCUGGUGUAGCGGUGAAAUGCGCAGAUAUCAGGAAGAACACCUAUGGCGAAGGCAGCACUCUGGGACGGUACUGACGCUGAGACGCGAAAGCGUGGGGAGCGAACAGG
rnacentral:rRNA from 1 species